UAUGACACACACAAGGAUUUUGGUUCCAGCUGUUGGUGACUCUCAAAAGAACAGGCAUAAAUAAUACUAUACAUUUAGCUUGGACUAUACAAGACAAGAUAAAACAGACUAUUUGAGGAAAUAAAGACACUGUUAGACCUGUGUGGUUUUACAGCACAACCUCUUUGUCACUGUUUUCUCCUCCCUUUCUCACAAUGUUACAGCACCGUCUCAGUAUUUCUCCUUUAUAUUUGAAUUCAAAUAUAAAGUCAGCUUUGUAUUUUCUUGUACCAGGGACACCUGAGAUCUCCACGUACUUUUAAUGUUUAAGUUCCUGUGAAGUGCAAUCAUAUUUUUGCUUUGUAUUUGUGUUCCACAUCAUGUACUGCUUAAAGAACUGGUAUUCUGACAGUGCGACCCUGAACACCAAACCCAUCCGCCUGUCCAUCUUCCUCAUCGCCGGUGUAUGUGCAGGUUUUCCAGCUCUUAUUUGGGCUCUCAGUGUACUGUACCGCCAUUAUAAGAGCGGAGGUCGAACCUCAGUCUUCACCAUCUUCCUCCUCCUCAGUGACCUGCUGGAGCUGAUCCUGACUCCAUUCCUUGUAACAUACAUAUUCAAAGAGGACUUUAAUCCAUGUGGAAUCAUUUUUGGACUAUUGUUUGGGGCCAGGCUGCUUGGGCAACUGCUUCACCAGACAGUGGCGUUAGAGAGCAUUUGCCAAAGAUAUCUAUUACCUGCUGAAGUUUUCUCUCCUCCCUGCUCUAUUGUAUUUUCCAUUGUUUUUCUUCUAGCAGUUGCAUGUCAUUUCAUACAAAAAACCAUAUAUGUGAUAACUGUAUUUGUAGGCAUAUUACCUCUAAUUGUGUGUGCAUAUAUAUUAACUUGUAAAGUACCUCAUGACAGCGACCAGGCCACAGACAGGAAGCCUAGUGUGCUGGUUGUAACUGUUGCCAUGUUUACAUUGAUGCUUAUAUACUUACCAUUUUUCUUGACUGUUUUUACUGACAUUCCUUUCAUUUUGGACUGUUUAACAAGUAUGAGAUUAAUCUCUGAUCCCCUCCUGUGUGUACUCGUCUGCAAGGAGCUCGGUUUCAAUUCACACACAGAUCGUACAGAAGGAUCACGUGCAAAUUAUCAGCUUUGAAUUAGCAGGACAAACAGUAGGUUGUGUUUUGUGAUGUUAUUGCAGUGUGUAUAUUAUCAGUUUUGCAGAAAUGGAGUUAAAUAUACAGAAAUUAUUUACACCAGUCUACAGGAAUGUAAUUGUGCUCAGUUCAUGCUGGUUUGUUUGUGGUUAAAAUGUUCCCAGUAAUGUUAGACACACAUUCUUAUAAUCCUUUCUCUAGGAACAAAUUGCUUUUGCAAAAAUAUUAGUGUAGUCUCUAUUUUCUUUUUUUCUUUCCAGGCAGACUUGUUUUUUUUUCUUUUCUUUUUUAAUCAUUUGUGCAUGGGCUUGUGUGAAUGUGUGUGUUUUUGAACCAGAACUCCUAAGGUUGUAUUUGAAAUAAAUGUUUAUUUUCAUGCACCUUUAGUUAUACUGAAGGGAAAACUUAAUAUAUCACACAAACACAUUCUAUGUCUUUGUCUAUUCACUGUCAUGAUAAGGGCGAUGAUGCAACAGUUAGUGUGUAGUGUAAGGAACCACUGAAAGGAGAAGAAAACACUGGAGCUAAAACGGGUAACACCCAAACACAUAACUGCGUUAUAGACAACGGUGCUGUCCAAAUAUGGAUGUUUGGCCAUACAGAGAUGUAC